CUUUUCGAAUUUGCCGAAUGAGUGGCGGUCUAGUGCACGGUCGAUAAAGUUGUGACUAGAUCCACACUCAUUAAGCACGUUCGAGC
rnacentral:pre_miRNA from 1 species